CGUUAUGGCGAUAAGAGUUCAGCGCGUGUUAAUGCUUCAAGGUACACUCUCUUUGUAUCUGGCAAGUGUUCGGACGAAUGCCUUCCCCCGAAUGCAGAUAGCCUGCUUUUGCACAUUAAGAGAGCCAACUACCAAGCAGCCAUCUGGAAGAAUAGUUUGCAAUCGCACAUUAAUGUUCAACCUCCUGUGAGCCAUGGAUAGCACAUGAAAAAUGGUCAGUUAGAGAUUCUUUGGAUGACUGGAUCUUCUGCUCCAGAUACACUUAUUGAGUGCGUGACAUGUAAGUGUAAAGCUGGUUGCAAGAAUCGUCGAUGCUCGUGCUUGAGGUCUGGUUUGCAAUGUACUGACAUUUGCGGUUGUUCUGACUGCAGUAACUACGCCUCUGAAGAUGACGGCCCAAUAAAAGAGCCGGAUGAGUGCGAUGAUAGCGAUUACGAUGAUGCCGACGAUACACAUGAAAACUUCAUAAACGAUUUCAAUGAAAUGUUCUAUUAAGAAUGCACUGCUCAGCAGUGUGUACAUCAGGAACUAGAUGGCGACCAAAGGAUUCUGAUCUUUUUGUCCAUCAAGCAGCUAUGGAAGAUUAAUAGCUAAACAUAUCAUUUCAAAUUAACUUAGAAGGAUUGAUCCCUAAUCAUUAUUUAGCACCGUUUUUUGAAUAUGAGCCAGCAAAUUUAGUGAAUUUCACACAAAAACAAUAUGGCGGAUAUAGUAAAUAAAUGUCGAAUUUUUGAUGGCUCUAGCUCUCUUGAUUGCAAGUUUUCGGGAUGUAAACAGGCAGAUUUAUGUUAAGUGAGUACAUAUCAGUACAUCUA